rnacentral:rRNA from 1 species
UACGUAGGGGGCGAGCGUUGUCCGGAAUCAUUGGGCGUAAAGCGCGUGUAGGCGGCUGGUUAGGUGUGAUGUGAAAUCCUCGGGCUCAACCCGAGAACUGCAUUGCAAACCGGCCUGGCUAGAGUGCAGGAGAGGGAAGCGGAAUUCCAGGUGUAGCGGUGAAAUGCGUAGAUAUCUGGAGGAACGCCAGUGGCGAAGGCGGCUUCCUGGCCUGUAACUGACGCUGAGACGCGAAAGCGUGGGGAGCGAACCGG